GUUAAUGUUAACAAUCUCUACUUAGAAUAUCACUGUUACGAGUAAGUAUUUUUGCAUUUUACCUGGAGAAAUUGGUGAAGUCAGUGAGGGUUUCAGGCACUGGGCCUCUUCUGAGACAAGUCUUACUCGGCAGGGCAAUAUUCGGAUUCCAGAGCCAGAUUCUUCACUUGUAUUGACUUUCCUGGUAUGGGAUGAGGAUUUUUGCCUAUAGAUGGACUUCUAAUUUUCUCCACUUUUAUUUAUUGGUGUUCCUUUUCAAGUAUUUUGAAGCAGUGCCAUGCCUGUCUGCUAGCAGAGCUGCUUCCUGGGCAGCGCAUGGAGAAGAUGCCCUCAGAGGAAAUGGGAUUGCUGAAUGCUGCUGUGUGACUGCAUCGUGUUGUGUGGAGACACACAGUACUGGUCUUCUGUGGUGCUGCUGAGAACCUGGCUUGGUUUAUCUUCUGGACUCAGCAUGGCCUUGUGGAGUCUGUCUUUGAAAGCAGUGGUGGCAGUGCUGGAGUUGGUGUUGUGCAUCCAUGAAGGGAUGGAGCUGUCAAAGAGGAUUUGGAGCUGGAUUUGAAGACAUCAAGAUACGUAAAUUUAAAAGAGGGAGAAACAUGCCCACAAUGAGCCUGAAUACAGCCACGCUUAUACCAAGCUCGUUUAUUCUUUAAAAAAAAAUUGAUUGUGGAUUUUUUAUAAUAGACUUCAGAUAAUACCACAAAAUCAUACAA